rnacentral:lncRNA from 1 species
AAAUUUAAAUACCCUACUAAAAAGAGACUUGGACGAACAUUGGUGGAGUCAGUUCUUUGCUAUGGUUCAGAGCUAUGGACUUUGAGUGCAGAUACGAAGCGGAAAAUCCAAGUUGUUGAAAUGGACUAUCUUAGAAGGAGCGCAAGUAUAUCUAGGAUGGAAAAAAAGACAAACAUCGAGGUCAGGCGUAUCAUGAAUGCAUCGAAGGAGACAGUGCUAGAUCGAAUUGAAAAAUCGAGCUUAAAGUGGUUUGGACAUGUUCUACGUAUGCCGGAGAACAGGUGGCCAAGAAAAGUUUUUCAAUGGACUCCUCAGGGUAGAAGAAAGAGAGGCAGACCUAGAAUAUCAGAUAUAUCUGAUAUUCGCCAAUGCGCACACUCGCGUCAACUAUCUAACUAUAAGUCUAAUUGUCUAACUGUCUAACUAAUCCUAACUUAACUAACCGUAACUCUACUGAGGUCCCAGCCUUUUUGUUCUUGUCCUGCGCACACACCCACCAGACGAGCCUGCGUGCUCCAGUCUGUGGGGCCCCACACUACCGACACCUGCGCACUACGUACCACCACGCUAACAGAUGGGUAUGUGCCCUCGAAACUAAUUAGGCAUUCCAACGACCUGUCAAAAUCGAUCCAAUAUGGCCGCUGGGGGCACACAUGGCUGUAUUUACAUUAGUCCUUGUGGUAGUCAAAUCAGAGCUAAGUUAUAUUUAAUACAUUUUAUAGUGUUUUUCAGUUCAUAUUGUGGCUCAGUAGUUAGCUGUUAGCACAUUUAUAGUAAAUUUUGAUAGCCAGGAUAUAAAUUCUGCCAGAAACAUAAUAUUUUAAGACGUUUUGUUACAUGCCGAUUACGUGUCGGAAGUCGAGCAAAUAAAGACAAUUUAUAUUUUUAUUGUGUCCCUACGACCACAAAUCACCGCUUCUUAACAGAACAAAAUUAAUUGUCCAAGAAACGUCGUUCUCUUUGGAUGGCAGCUAUAAAAAGAGAUGAUUUAAUGUGGUGUAUAAUCUAUAAUACAAAAACAGAGGGUGUGUAGCAAACACUUUCUAACAGGUCUGUAGUAAAAAUCCUUUAUUGAUAUUUCUGUUUUAAUAAUUGUGGAAUAUUACAAGUUUAUAAUUGUUAUUUCUAGGAAAACUUGUUAGUUUAGAAGAUGAAAAUCAUCCAGAUUGAGUUGGUUCCGUCACAAGACAUGGGUCAUAAUUGUAUAUAUCUGAGAAAAAGACAGGAUGAUAUUGAGAGAAAACUAAGGGCAGACUAAAGAAGAAAAGUACAAUAUGAAGCCAUUCUUAACACGUCUGAAGCAGAACCUCAUCGUGUGAUUGAAACAAAUGUUCGAAUCAACAGUUUUAGUAUACAAACAUAUAUCACGAUGGAUGACUUAUGCAACAAAUUUGAGCAGCUUAGUUUUGCAACAUCUAAAAUAAGUAAUUUCGCCUGAUUGCAGAUUACAUACCAUUUACACAAACGACAGCUCUAAGCAAGUUUAAAAGAUUUGGGUUAUUGUUUUAAAGUGUCUUUUGCUACAGCCUCAACAACAUUUAAAGUAAUCAAUAAUGAUUUAUACAAAAGGUAUAAAACCUUAUAAAUAGAAUGGUCCAAUCCAUCUACGAUGCUCUAAAAAUAUGACAUAUUGUUUUAAAAUGGCAUUUAGGAAUCGCAUUGUAUUAUUGAUUGUUACUCAAAUAUUUAUUUAUUUAUAACAUUAUAUUGUAAUUCUUAUUUUCACGAGUGUAAAUUACAAAAUUAGCUUAUUGUUUAUAUAUCGUAAUAAACGAAUAUGUACUAUAUACUGUUAUACUCCUUAACAAAAAUAUACAAUUGUCGAAUAAACAAUAAGAAAGAUACUUUUUAUUUAUUUCUAUUAUUUUUUACACAUACUGAUGGCCCAAUAGAUAUGUUUUAUUAAAAAAAUAUAUACUGAAUACAAAACUAAAACCUCAAUCGAUAGAAUUAUGACAGAACAGCUGAUCGGCUUCAUUGACCUUGCCCCCAGCCGCCAUUUUAAAAUCACGUGGUUUGGAAUGCCUAAUUGCGGUUAUGUUUUUAAACAGAGCUAUGCCCCUUACAAAGUUUGUGGUUAGAUUUCAGACGGACUGAGAA